UGGAUUCCAUUUUUACUCCUUGGGAGAAAUCUGCUCUGAAGGUCCAAACGGUCUCCUUCUUCAAAGUUCAAACCCUCACCUCCAGACUCAACUUCUCUCCGCCACUCCAAGAACCCCUACGGGCGGGGCUACUCUCCCUCCCCGUCCUCAAAUUCCAUUCCCAAAACCAAACCGCCACCGUCUCGUACCUUCCAACCGACCCUUCAAUCCAGUCGUUCAGUGACACCGAGAGUCUCAACCUGAAGCUCGUCGCCGAUCACCGUCUCCGCAGCAACUUCCUCGGCCUCUACGACGUCCAGUCCGCCGCCGACUCCAUGUGCGCGUUCCUACAGCGCGUGGCCGCGGCCGGGUCAAAGGGGAUCGCGCGGAGUCAACUCUCCAAGGAGCUUGGGAUUAGAGGUGAUAUUUUCUUUUACAAGCUGAGGAGGCUUGAUUGUGAAGAAAAUGAUGAUCCUAAUGUGAGUUUGAGUACCAAUUUAGUGUACCUCAAUCGUUAUGCAAAGCAUUUAGGUUCAGAGAGAGUGAGGUGACUAAAUGUGAGGGUGGAGAGAGUAAGAGUGAGAAGAGUGGUGGAGAUCUAAUCGUGGAGCUUCCGAUUGAGCAUCAAAUUUAUGAGAUGGUUAAUGAAGCCGGGUCGAGGGGGCUGAUUGUGUUUAAGGUUGCAGAGAGGCUGGGAAUUGAUAGGAAAGAGAAUAGGAAGAGGAUUGAGAGUUUGUGCUCCAAGUAUGGGAUGGUAAUGGAUAAAGAGAUAUGUGGAAAGACUCAAGUGUAUCGAGUUAUGAAAUUCCGAAUGAGUCUGCGAGUGAUGGUAUAAGUAAGUUUACUGAAGUAAGGCGAUACUGCAAUGGCAGCAGCCACAAAUGAUGUCUCGUCAAGAACAUCGCCUGCUGUGGAUAGUGCCAGGCCGAUAAGGGGAAAAUGUACACUUGAACCAUCACAGGAUAAAGGUGAUGAACUUCAAUCUCUGGAAAUCAGAAGUCCUUCACAGAAAAGGAAGAGAUCAGCAUAUCUAAGGUUUCUAGAAGUUCACGACAUAAAUGAGCAGCAACCUGGAGCAAACGAGGAUGGUGAAGAGUGGUGUGCUUUCUCAAAGCCAAAAUCAACAUGCGAAAGUAGGUUUUCAUGGACAGAGGAGGCUGUUAGGAAAUUGGUUAUCCAAUAUGUAAGACAGUGUGCAACUAUUGGAGCAAAAUAAUAUCACCAGAUAAAUUGGGCUUCACUUCCGGACCUUCCAGCGCCUCCAAGUACCUGCAAAAGAAGAAUGUCAUAGCUGAAGAUCAGUAAUGGAAAAUUUAGAAAGUCUUUAAUGUCGCUGUGUAACAUGUUCAGUACACGAUAUGCAAAGCUCCUGCUGAAAACCCAGAACAGGUCACUUAACCAAGAUGCUUGCAAAUCACUUCUGCAAGGUUCAACAGAGGGGGUUAUAAUCUGAAUAUACCUUUUAGUGACCAUGGGACAGGUCUUCAAGAAGAAUCUUGGGAUGACUUUGAUGACAAAAAUAUUAAGGAAGUGCUCAAUAAGACGCUUCAUUAUGUGAGGUUGGCUAAAUCUGUUGCCUCCAAAAGAUGUGCAUCUUCCUGCAAGGAGGAGUCAGAUCUUAAUGCAAAUGCUGAAGAUGUUGGGGGGAGUGAUUUUCAACCUCUGUCUCUCUCACCUCUGGUCUUCCCUGACGUUGUCAAGUCACCAUUUCCAACUAAUUCUGGCAAGAGAGCUGCCAAAUUUUCUAAUUGGCUCCACGAAAAACAUAGAGAUCUUAUCGAAAGGGGGAUUGACCUUCCUACAGAUAUGCAGUGCGGAGACAUGUUUCAUCUGUUUGCUUUAGGUUCUUGAGGUGAAUUGGUAAUCACCCCAUUCUUGCCUAAUGGAGUGGGAAAGGCAGAAGAUCUGAGACACUCUAAACGCAAAAUCAGUAGUAAGGAAGACUUGGAUGCUAAAAGGCUGAAAUCCUUGGUAGCAGAAAGUGAGAUUAAUUCCCGUCGAGAAAAAGGUUUUCCAGGUCUUAUUGUGUCUGUUUGUCGUACAACAUCUUAUAAAGCUGAUGGUGAAUUUAUCUGAUGGUAUCUCUUGUGGAAAAGAACAUUGUUGUGGGAAUCAUCAAGACCACUCAGGCCAGAUUCCGACUAAAGAACCCCUCAAUUCAGGCAUUGUUUUUCAUGUGGCAGAGACCUGUAGUGAGUCACUGGGCGAAAGUAUCCUCCAUCCAGGAAUUUUUGAUACUGGUGGUCCUCUGAAUGUUAAUGAAGCAGUAAGUACUCUUGAUUCUCCAAAAGAGAUUGCUGAGCGCCCAUCAAAAAAAGUAACAAGCAGUGUAGAAGACAAAGUCAUCUCUCCUAGGGGAGAUUUUGAUAACUGGUCAAAAUGCUCUUCUGGUAAAUUAUGUGUGCCACCUCUUUGGUUAAAUGAGGACAAUACCGUCAACAAGAGUAUAUACGAGGGGCUCACGCGAUGUGUUUUUGGGAUUGUGAUGCAAAAUCCAGGGAUAUUAGAAGGUGAAAUUAUCAGUAAGAUAUCGUACUCGAUCCGGAUAGCUGUAAAAAAUUGUUGGCAGAGAUGAUCGAGGCAAAGCAUCUUCAUAUCAGGAAUAUGUGCCAAGCGACAUCCAAUGGUCCCCCAGCAUUUCUAGGAACCCUCUCUGGUAGCAGCCUCACCCAAUCAAAGGUGAUUUUCCGUGACCAUUUCUUUGCAAAUUCCAUGAGUUCAUUCUUGUUCUAGGGAUGCUUUAGCUUUUUUCCAAUAGUGAAAGUACAUUGCUAAUUUGCAAUUAGCAUCCUAUUCAUAGAAAUGAAAGCACAUUAUAGUGUAGAAACUUGACACUGACAGUGUAUGUUGGUAAACUCGAGUUACGAUUACUGUACUGCAUUGUUUGGAUAAACUGCGCAGCGCUCACUAU